CUUGGCGACUUCCUUUUUGCUGAAGAUAAAAUCGGUCCCAAGAAUAAAAACGAACAUACUGAGAUACUCGUGUUUAUCUCCAAAGCACAGCCUCUGGCCUCCGGAAUGUUCUUGUGUCAUUUCCAGAUAUUGUGUGGGGUUCCGGCAGACAGCGUGGACACAGCCGACAGAGAACAGGGCCAAGGCUUUAGAGGCAGUUUGUGGUUAUUUCUUCCUGGGAAACCUUGGUCUCUGGAACCUUCCGUGGCGGUGCAUUUACACCCCAGACCGCGCAGAGUUCAAACCGUGAGGGCCUCCCACCCAGACCCCGAGUCCCCCACAAGGCAGCACCACCGUGCCUGGACCUCAGCAGUGCCCCCGAUGCUUUCCUAUCAAGGACUUCCAGCAGGAGUGGAAGGGGGCCAGAGGGAGGGUUUGGGGCAGCUUUGAUUGCUUUUUCGUUAAUAAUUUUCCUUGUUCCUCCCCCAGGACACCGAGAGGCUGCAGGGAGCCUGGGUGGGCCCUGGAGGCCCCGGGAGGGGAAACCGGCCCACGUGCCUGGCAUUCCUGCUCUGCUUCCACAUUGUUUGUUUGUUUGUUUUCAAUUACAGCCGGCAGGAGUUCCUCUCUCCUUUCAGAUUCUGCCGGGACUUCUAGCAAGUUCUAGAACCACCCCCUGGCCCAGGCAGGGAACGUUCCAGCACCCUCCGGGCUACACCCCCCUCUCCCCACCCAGACACCCACACCGAGGGUUAUUUUUCCUUGGAGUGUGUGCAUCUAGGCUGCACGUGCACCCUGGCCACGCGGAGCCCACGCCCAGUGUCUCUGGGCCUCCCCCGUCGGAACCGGAACCGCCACCCUGCGGGGAGGUGGGGGGUGGGGACGGCCCCGCCGAGGGCAGCAAAGAGCAGAUUUCUGCCGCUUGGCCAGGCUGAGCUGCGGUGGACGCCGAGCCCGGGUCCAGGGGAGGGGGCGCGACCGUGGACGCCGGUGGACAGCGGCCGGCCUCCCUGGUGAGGAAUCCCAGCUCGCUGUGAGGUGCACACGCCAGGCCUGUCUUUCCACGAAGUCAGCUUUAUUCGGUCAUAAAGCAAGGCCCUCGGGUUCCUGGCGGGAUUCCACCGAGCCCGCAGCCCCGUGUCUGUGUCCCAGUGUGCAUUCCAGCACAUUCCAUCACCCCAAAAGAAGCCCCCGUCUCAUCAGCCAUCAUCUCCCCCCGCCCCCACGAGCCCCCUUCUCAUCCGUGGACGAGCCUGUUCUGGACGUUUCACACACGCGGACUCACACCCCGUGUGGCCUCUCGUGUCCGGGUCCCUCCCUGAGCGUCGUGUGUUCGGGUCCGUCACUCCUGCUCGCGGCUCAGUGAUGUGCGCAUGCACGGGGGACGCGUUGGUCUGUGGACGUGCGUGUGCACCGUGGACACGUCGUGUGUGUCCCUCCACAAGUGGGCGGGCAUCUUUGGCUGCUGGGAACAGUUGUGAGCGGGCAUCGUGGGCACACUCGCGUGUGCAGUUUGCGACGUGCACACACGGGCAGCGAGUCUCUGCCUGGCUGUCUUCCACGGCGGCCGCCCCGUUUUACCGUCUUCCCAUCGCUGCGUGGACGCGGCGCGGAUCCUGGGGUCGGACCCUGGCCUUGGUGCCUGGUGGACUCAGGCUGUCGCCAGGCACCGCGGACCACGUGGUGUGUUUUCAUCAUCUGAGAGCCGGGUGCACGGAGAGGGCUGGGAAGCUGGACAAGUUUGGGCAGCCCCAAGCUGCGCUGCCGCCUUGGACUCCGUGGGCUGGUAAAACCUGCCCCGAGUGUUUGCCGCACCACUUUCUUGAGCGUGAGGUUCGUGUCCCUGCGAGGCAAGGCGAGGCGCCAGGGGCCAUGACUGCUUGCUCGUCUGUAGUUGCACCUGGUGGCUUCUUUCCAGCGUUUUCUUCCUGAAGUGGGGGCAUGGGGAGUGGGGGGACGGGGAGGGCAGAGCAGGGAUUCCCCCUCCCCCCCCCCAGCCUGCAGGAGCCCAGGCAGCCUUUUACCCUCCCCUCCAGGCCUCAUCGCAACUCGGGAAACUGAGGCUCAGGCAGUCCCAGUCGGUCACUCCUCCCAGAGGUGGGGGAUAUGAAGCAUCAUCUGCCUGAUCCUGGUUUCCAGCCACCUUCAGGGUCCGUCCGGGCACUGGCAACCCGCCUUGGUCCCGUGGAUUCCUGUGAUGGUCUCACAGACAGUGGCCUGAGCUCUGCGGAGGCAAAUGAUGUCCACACACAGCCCACGGUGUUUACAGCAGCUUCAUUCAUAAUUGGCCAAACUUGGGAGCAAGUGUGCUGCCCUUCCUUCAACAGGUGACAGAUAGACUGUGGUCCAUCCGGCACUAAGAACAAGCCAUCGAGCCACGCAGAGCCACAGAGGAGCCUCAGACGCACAGCACUCGGUGACAGAAGCCAGGCUGAGGAGGCGACACACGGGGUGGUUCCAAGUCCAGGAUGUUCUGGACAAGGCAGGACCACGGAGGCACGGCUGCCGGGGUGGGGGAGGGUGAAUGGGAGGAGCACAGGAAUUUCAGGGCCGUGGGUCUACUCCGGACGACACCGUGGUGGUGGGCAGGUGUCCGUGACAUUCGUCCGAACCCACGGGGUGUGCCGCACCAGGAGUGACCUCGUGUCCGCUGUGGACCGUGGUUCGUAACGUUCAGAGCUGGCUCACCCGUGUGACUAACGUACCAGACCAAUGCACAUUGCUAAUGAUGAAAAGACACCACGGUGAGGGAGACGGAGGGAACUCUGUGCAGGUCCUGCUCAGUUUUUUGUAACCCUCAAACUGAUUUUUUAAAAAGCCUAUUUUUUUUUUUUUUUA